AUUGAACGCUGGCGGCAUGCCUUACACAUGCAAGUCGAACGGUAACGGGCCUUCGGGUGCCGACGAGUGGCGAACGGGUGAGUAAUACAUCGGAACGUGCCCGAUCGUGGGGGAUAACGAGGCGAAAGCUUUGCUAAUACCGCAUACGAUCUACGGAUGAAAGCAGGGGACCGCAAGGCCUUGCGCGGACGGAGCGGCCGAUGGCAGAUUAGGUAGUUGGUGGGAUAAAAGCUUACCAAGCCGACGAUCUGUAGCUGGUCUGAGAGAAUGAUCAGCCACACUGGGACUGAGACACGGCCCAGACUCCUACGGGAGGCAGCAGUGGGGAAUUUUGGACAAUGGGCGCAAGCCUGAUCCAGCCAUGCCGCGUGCAGGAUGAAGGCCUUCGGGUUGUAAACUGCUUUUGUACGGAACGAAAAGCCUUCUUUUAAUACAGGAGGGUCAUGACGGUACCGUAAGAAUAAGCACCGGCUAACUACGUG
rnacentral:rRNA from 1 species